CCUACGGGUGGCAGCAGUGAGGAAUAUUGGUCAAUGGUCGGGAGACUGAACCAGCCAAGCCGCGUGAGGGAUGAAGGUACAGAGUAUCGUAAACCUCUUUUGUCAGGGAACAAAGGCGGGGACGUGUCCCCGGAUGAGUGUACCUGAAGAAAAAGCAUCGGCUAACUCCGUGCCAGCAGCCGCGGUAAUACGGAGGAUGCGAGCGUUAUCCGGUUUUAUUGGGUUUAAAGGGUGCGCAGGCGUUCUGUUAAGUCAGCGGUAAAAGCCCGGGGCUCAACCCCGGCCCGCCGUUGAAACUGGCAGUCUCGAGUUGGAGAGAAGUAUGCGGAAUGCGCGGGGUAGCGGUGAAAUGCAUAGAUAUCGCGCAGAACUCCGAUUGCGAAGGCAGCAUGCCGGCUCCACACUGACGCUGAGGCACGAAAGCGUGGGUAUCGAACAGGAUUAGAUACCCUGGUAGUC
rnacentral:rRNA from 1 species